rnacentral:rRNA from 1 species
UACGUAGGUGGCAAGCGUUGUUCGGAAUUAUUGGGCGUAAAGGGCGCGUAGGCGGUUUGUUAAGUCGCUGUGAAAGCCUGGGGCUCAACCCCAGAGGGUCGGCCGAUACUGGCAAACUAGAGUACGGAAGAGGUAGCGGAAUUCCGUGGUAGCGGUGGAAUGACUGUAGAUAUCGGGGAGGAACACCAGCGGCGAAGGCGGGUGCCUGGGCUGACGACU